ACCUGGUUGAUUCUGCCAGUAGUCAUACGCUCGUCUCAAAGAUUAAGCCAUGCAUGUGUAAGUAUAAAUCUUGUACUUUGAAACUGCGAAUGGCUCAAUAUAUCAGUUGUAAUCUCUUCCGUAUUCCCUUACUACUUGGAUAACCGUAGUAAUUCUAGAGCUAAUACAUGCAGGAAGUCCCGACUUCGGAAGGGAUGUAUUUAUUAGAUAAGAAACCAAUCCGGCUUGCCGGUUGCGUGCUGAGUCACAAUAACUGCUCGAAUCGCAUGGCCUUGCGCCGGCGAUGGUUCAUUCAAAUUUCUGCCCUAUCAGCUUUCGAUGGUAGGAUCGAGGCCUACCAUGGCGUUAACGGGUAACGGAGAAUUAGGGUUCGAUUCCGGAGAGGGAGCCUGAGAAACGGCUACCACAUCCAAGGAAGGCAGCAGGCGCGUAAAUUGCCCGAAUCCUGACACAGGGAGGUAGUGACAAGAAAUAACAAUACAGGGCUAUUUUAGUCUUGUAAUUGGAAUGAGUACAAUUUAAA
rnacentral:rRNA from 1 species